rnacentral:lncRNA from 1 species
AGUUAUCUUAGAGAUGUAAGUUCAUUUACUUGUCCAGCACUAAAAGGCCAAAGGGGCUUGUUUUCUCACCCAAAAGACCUUCCUGAGGCAGCUGUUCGGAUACAUGCAGAGCACAGCGCCCUGCUCAGAAAGGAAGGUUCAGAGAACAAAUUGUCGUUUAAAACUAUUGGGACAAACCUACCUCUUCUAAAGCUUAAAAUGGUCUCCAGCGUACCAGGAUUUGUGAAGGCCUGAAGUUCGUAGAAUGAAAUCUAUGUGGAGAUGAUUUAAAAGAACGGUUUCACUGCUGUCUCCUCUCUGUCCCUUUUUAGAGACCAACACAUAUAAACCAAGUCUACACAAGAAACAAAGCUAAAAUCCUUUCGAAAUGAGUUCCUUUAAGUUCUUCAGUAACUAAAUCCUCCAGAAAGGAAAGCCGAGAGAAUCUAGUCCUAUACAAUAACACCCUCUAACAAAGAUCGCUAAAGGAAGAUUUUAGUAGAUGAAUAUCUUCAAUAAUACAUGGUCACAUACAUGUAUCUGACCAUAUGAUGGCUCUCUGCACCAAAUUCCUCCAAACUAUUAUAAUAUGUAUUGUCUGUAGUGCUAUUUAUUUGGCAGUUAAUCAUGUAUUACAUUGUGACAUUUCUUACAGUGAACCAUUAUGUAUGUGUUUAUGUUCUGCCCUCAACUACUCAAUGCCAGUACCUUAUUCUUAACACAGCAACCACCCUUUCUGGUCUGUCCUCACACCCUCAUUCCCAUCAUAGUUAUUCUCCUCUCUCAUGGAAAUGUUCAGUUUCUGGACAUCUCCUUUCUCUUCCAUUCUUCACCUGACCUUCCUUCCUUUCUUGGCCAGCCUGAAUAUUAUAAAGGGAAUUUUAUUUCAAACCCAGGAUCGCACUUAAGAGGAAAAGAAACAAAAGCCAGUUCUUUUUAUUGCACAUAGAACAAGGAGAAACUCCACCCCUUUUGUUGUCUGGUAUGUUUAAAACAAGAAAGAACUUUAGAAAAGUAGGAUAUGAGUGAAAAUUACAACCAAUGUUGAGAACUACUUUUUAAUUUUUUAUUACAAAAUUAGGAUGAUACUUCAUUAAACAUUGUACAUCAUUUCAAAACUGUUAUCUCAUAAUCAUGUUGCUUGUUUUGAAUUAUUCUUUUAAAGUGUAAUUUUUUUAAGCAAAGAAUCCAUAAAAUUACAUGGCUUGGAUGUACCAUAACUUACUUAAUCCUUAUGCUAUUGUUUAAUAUGUGGGUUGUUUCAGAUUUUUCAUGAUUGUAAAUAACAAAAUAAACUUCCUUAUACUUAA